UACGUAGGGUGCAAGCGUUGUCCGGAAUUAUUGGGCGUAAAGAGCUCGUAGGCGGUCUGUCGCGUCGACCGUGAAAACCCGCGGCUUAACUGCGGGCUUGCGGUUGAUACGGGCGGGCUAGAGUUCGGUAGGGGAGACUGGAAUUCCUGGUGUAGCGGUGAAAUGCGCAGAUAUCAGGAGGAACACCGGUGGCGAAGGCGGGUCUCUGGGCCGAUACUGACGCUGAGGAGCGAAAGCGUGGGGAGCGAACAGG
rnacentral:rRNA from 1 species